GACGAACGCUGGCGGCGUGCUUAACACAUGCAAGUCGAACGGUGAAGCGCCUUCCUUUUUGGUGGGUGUGGAUGAGUGGCGAACGGGUGAGUAACACGUGAGUAACCUGCCCCCUUCUUCUGGAUAACCGCAUGAAAGUGUGGCUAAUACGUGAUAUUCUGGGUCUGUCGCAUGAUGGGUCUGGGAAAGACAUUGUUUCGGUGGGGGAUGGGCUCGCGGCCUAUCAGCUUGUUGGUGGGGUGAUGGCCUACCAAGGCGUUGACGGGUAGCCGGCCUGAGAGGGGGGACGGGCACACGGGGACUGAGACACGGGCAAGACUCCUACGGGAGGCAGAAGUGGGGAAUAUUGCACAAUGGGCGCAAGCCUGAUGCAGCGACGCCGCGUGAGGGAUGGAGGCCUUCGGGUUGUGAACCUCUUUCGCCAGUGAAGCAGGCCUGCCUGGUUUGUGGGUGGGUUGACGGUAGCUGGAUAAGAAGCGCCGGCUAACUACGUG
rnacentral:rRNA from 1 species